AUGCCAUUUAGAUUGUUUUUAGUUUUUGCACAUUUCCUCAUAAAUUUUUGCCAAGAGCUCACCGACAUCGACGGCUUUGGUGCUGGAGGCAUUUUUCUCUGCCGUUUCACCGGCACACCAACUUUCGGCGCUUUUUUUGGCUGCUUCCCUAGCGCGCUAGCCUGCGACGACACAUUUGAGGUGCACAAAGCAGCUAAGAUUGCCAGGACGACAAAGAGCUUGAGCAGUUUCAUGUUGGCUUAG
rnacentral:rRNA from 1 species